UCCCGAACUCAGAAGUGAAACGAAACAGCGUCGAUGGUAGUGUGGGGUCUCCCCAUGUGAGAGUAGAACAUCGCCAGGCU
rnacentral:rRNA from 3 species